rnacentral:rRNA from 1 species
UGGUGGAGCGAUUUGUCUGGUCAAUUCCGAUAACGAACGAGACUCUAGCCUACUAAAUAGUUCGGGGACCCCCACAAAGGGGCCCCGGCUUCAACUUCUUAGAGGGACAGGUGGCGUUUAGCCACACGAGAUUGAGCAAUAACA